GGAAAAUGCAUUAUUAGGUGGGUACCAGGAUUAACCUGACCUAUUAAGGUGACUACAGAAGGUAAAAAGGAAAUUAAAGACUUGCGUUGCUCAAUAACAUCUGGCUACCAUUCAAUGUUAACUCAGAAACAUCUGUAACCAGAGAUCAGAACUGCUUACCAGCCUGCUGGCCUUUCUACUACAUACUGCUGAAUGUUACAAUAAUCAAGAGGUAAUCCGAAUGACAUGUGUCUUCUACUUUGAAUUUGUGAGACAAAACCCAGCAGGGACAAUUCCUUUACAUAGUAAACCCUUUGUGCACUGAAAACGUGAUUAAAGAAAAUACAAAGCAGAUUUUUUUUUUUAAUCCUGUAUUUUUAAUUUGGGAACCUACUGCUUUAUCUUUGUGUCUCAUCCACUGUGGUUAAACUCUUUUUCCCAUCUUAACCACGUUUCAGAAACCAAUUUCUACUUGGGACUUCUAGACACAUAUGCAUUUUUUCCUCUGCUGAAGACUGUUGUAUUUAAAAAAUAAAUGGUACAAUUAACAUUUAGAUGAGAUUAUGUCCCCGUUCUUGUGGGUCAACAUUUUGGUUUCCACAUUCUCACCAUUCUCAACAAUCAUUUGCGGAGUGCCCCCUGGGAGAGUGGCACUCUCCCAGACACUGAUCUUCUCCCCUGUUCACUCCAAAUCAUUAUUCUCUUCCCCAUGACAUUUCUUCUCAAGUCUUCCGGCUUUUGAUCCCAAUGUUUUACUCUACAGUAUCACAACAUGAGAUACCUUGAAAAGCUAGUAAUUGACCUAAGUGCUCAGUCCAAUGAAGCAGAAAGUCUAACCUCUGAAAUGCAUAUGAUGUUUGGCAAGAAUAAAUCAUGACUGGGCUUUAAUAUUUACACAGUUGGGUCUUUGAAUAGCCAAUACUGCUUACAACUGAGGGCCUCCUUCACCAGUGGGUCUUGCUUUGGGCUGAGGACUGAAUAAUUUCUAGAUGAACACAUCAAGAACAUAAGAUGGGGAGAAGAGGUUAAAAAGUUCUAGCCAAAAUGGAGUAUGAGUGCUUUCCCAAGCACGCAAAUACACGAUUUCGUAAGAAUUCCUAUUUAAAAAAAAAAAAAAAAAAUUCCUUAUUUUCAUAGACGGAGUCAUCGGAACAAUGCAUCAAUAAAUUGUUUUAACUCUAACCAAAGUAACUUUCACUCUUUUUUGAAGUAAUCUGCAUCAAAGACUCUAGAAGAUACGUUCAAUCUAUUUCACUUAAUCAGCAUCAUUGAAAAAGGUGUUUAAUCUUGCAUGAAUUUCCUCAUAAAACAGGUUUAAGCUUUACGUACUAAAACUUACUUUAAAACGGCAUUUUCACAUAUGUUCAUGGCUUUAAAACUUUAUUUUUAAUCAUAAAAUAUAGGUCUUUAAAAAAGAAAAAACGAACCUGAAACAACACAGGUAGAGAAACAAAAUACUUAAAUUAGUGGUUCUCAAACUAGUUGCGCAAUAGAAUCCCCUGGAGAAUGUUAAAAAUUACUGAUGUCCAGGCACUAGCUCCAGAGAUUGAUUUACUUGGUCUUGGUAUUAAGACUUUAAAAAGCUCCCUAAAUGAUUUUAAUGUUCACCCAAAGCAGAGAACAACCCCUGCCCCCAUCAUGCCACACCUCCGGGUUAAAACUUCAUUGUACCCUUCCAGAUAUUUUCUUAUGCCCCAUUCUCCAUUUUUUUCCACGCUUUUGCUACUGUAAACAAUAUCACACUUGUUCAUAGGUCUUUUUCCACAUGUCUGGUUUUAUGUAUGGAAUAAAUCCCUACUAGUAAAACUAGUGGCCUACAAAAUGUAUUUUAAAUUUUGGUGGAUAUCACUCUCCACAGGAGCCGUACAACCUUACACUUGAAGCGGCAAUGUGUGAGGCUGACCACCUCUUCAAAUCCUUGCCAGUACUAUACACCAAACUUUUUGAUCUUUGCUAAUCUGAGAGGUGAAAGAUGGUAUCUCUGGGAUAUAAAUGUGCAUUUCUCUUACUAUAGGUGGGGCUGAGCACCUUUUAUUUUGAAGAUGACAUCUGAAUUUCCUUUUUAGUAAACUGUUCAUGUUACUUGCCCAUUUUUCUAUUGAGUUAUUAAUAUAUUUUUCUUACUGAUUUAAGAGUUCUUUAUAUACUAGGCAAUGUAGCCCCUUUUCUGAACAUGGGCAGCAAAUUAAUUUUCCUUGUUGUUUGCCCCUGGUAUUUUUUUGUCAUGCAGAAAUUUUUCUAAUUUUAUAUGGUUGAUUUUCAAGCUUUAUACCCUCCAGGUUUCAAUCACACUUAGAAAAAUUUUGACUGAUGGUUCUCAGGAAUAUUUUUCAGUUUCUUUAGGACUUUUACCGUUCAGCCAUAUGAAGAGAGAAGUUUCCAUUAUGCUUGAAUCCAAAAAUAUUCUGGGGAGAAGAACAAACAUUUUCUGGAAAUAAUUUUGCAAGGUAUCAAUCUCUAAAAUAGAACUAUUUGUAUAGUUCUGCAGUUCAACAACCAGCAGCAGUGGCUGACUAUAGGCUUUUGAAAUCUUUUCGGAUUCUGUCUUAAAACGAUCAGAUUUGAUUUUGGAUAAUCAUCGCAAUAUCUGAAAUGCAGCCAUUUAAGAGCUAUACGAGAGGACUGCACCAUGCAAUCCACACACCCGAAGAUAACAGUUUAUAGGUGCUUUUGCUGAAGGAGAAAUACUCGGAGCCAGCUGAUUACGCCAGGGGCUUGCACACAUUCCCUGACUGACUUGGACCAUAUUUGACAGAACAUUAGAAGUAUCAACCCUCCUCCUGCCCCCCAGAGAAGACAUUAGGGCAGAAAUAUCAUCAAUGAAAGAGUGCACAAAAGAAUGAGCUGGAAUUCCAACCUUAUAAUCUGUUUUUACUCCCUGUAUCCCUAUUGCUUGACCUCUUUUAAUAAAAGUUCCUCUAUCGAGGAUAAUGAGAAAAAGCGCUCUUCCAGGGUUUUUUUUUUUCCAAAAUAAAUAUGUUUUACACCUGUAGUUCAGGAAAAUCCUUUAAAACUAAGCACGAGAGCUAUCAUAUGUGCUAGUAAAGAUUCCAUUUCUCUUCUAUUGGAAGAACUUAUCUGAACAG